UCCUGAUUUAUGGUGAACGCUUAGGUGCGCACUUGUUCGUGCGUGUAAUCUUCAUGAAAUCGAUGCAUUAAUUUCGAAAGAAAAAUAUAACAAGCCAUCAAUCAAAUGUAUAACGUAAGCUUUAAUCCACCUCGUUAAAACGGCAAACAAACUAAUAAAUAGCGAUUUACAUAUAUAGGUCGCUGUAAUCACAACUGUCGCGUUGCUUCACUGACAAAUUCACUAGUUUCACUUAUCGUAUACUUAUUACCAAUGCAUGUUAGGUAUUGAAACGUCCGUUCCAGAUUAUGCAAGGUAAUAAAAGUGAAGAAAAUUAAAUUUUCAGCUCAUUCACGCGUUAUAAUAGGCGAGUUAAGUUGUCUUAGUAGCUGACCGAUAUAGGAUGUGUUUAAAGGUGCUGGUGUUAUAUUGCUCACUCGGCCUAAUAUUUAAUUAUUCUUGGGGAGUUGAAGAAUCUACGCCAAAAAAGGGAGCACAUCUCGAAGCAGUUAUUGCGCCGUCCGAUAAUUCCUCCGAAGUUGACUUGAACGAAGACUCCUCAAUCUGGCAGUUCUGGCGGCCUUGGAAAUUAUGGAACUGGGGUCGCAAUUUGAUGAACGAAGAAUAUGAUGAAAAUGCGAAGAGCAGUUAUGGAUACGGAAGACACGGGAUGUUCCAUCGAGACCAAAAAAGAUCUAAGAUUAAAAACAAAAUAAAAUUACUUGUUAAAAUACACCAAUUUCAAACUUAA